rnacentral:lncRNA from 8 species
GCAUUUCACUGUGAGGUCUACUACACCUGUUGUUCAAUUUCACUGUGAGGUCUACUACACCUGUUGUAUUCAGCAUUUCACUGUGAGGUCUACACCUGUUGUAUUCAGCGCAUGUAACAAAUAAAGUUUGAUUUGAUUUUGACCCGGAAGUACUUAGUAGUUCUUGCCUGUAUCGCAGCGGGUUCACGUUGAACGCUGAAGCUCACAACACUGCCAGUGUUAAAGUAGAUAAGUGGCUACGAGCUAACUAUUUAUAGUUGUAUUAUUCUCAGCUACAUCUUAUCUCAUAACCAGGCCGACCUAAAACAGCGGUACACAUGGAGCUGACUUGGGAGGACGUCCCGCUCCCAGCCCCAGACUGUCUAGUAUUUAACAGAGACCUUUAUGAUAAGUUCUCCCUGGCGCCGACCAUCAAGGGACUGUGGGAUAUCGCUGUUGGAAGGUACAGUAUGCAGCUAGCUGGCUGGCUACAGUAGCUACCUAACGGAGCGUCACUGGACAGCAGAUUGAGGGGAGUUUUAUCUCUUUCUCACUGUUACAACUGGUAACCAUUACAACUGGUAACCAUUAGAAUGAUGAACUGGUAACCAUUAGAUUGAUGAACUGGUAACCAUUAGAAUGAUGAACUGGUAACCAUUACAACUGGUAACCAUUAGAAUGAUGAACUGGUAACCAUUAGAACUGGUAACAAUUAGAAUGAUGAACUGGUAACCAUUAGAACUGGUAACCAUUAGAAUGAUGAACUGGUAACCAUAGAAAAAAUGAACUGGUAACCAUUAGAACUGGUAACCAUUAGAAUGAUGAACUGGUAACCAUUAGAACUGGUAACCAUUAGAAUGAUGAACUGGUAACCAUUAGAACUGGUAACCAUUAGAACUGGUAACCAUUAGAACUGGUAACCAUUAGAAUGAUGAACUGGUAACCAUUAGAACUGGUAACCAUUAGAAUGAUGAACUGGUAACCAUUAGAACUGGUAACCAUUAGAAUGAUGAACUGGUAACCAUUAGAACUGGUAACCAUUAGAAUGAUGAACUGGUAACCAUUAGAAUGAUGAACUGGUAACCAUUAGAAUGAUGAACUGGUAACCAUUAGAACUGGUAACCAUUAGAAUGAACUGGUAACCAUUAGAACUGGUAACCAUUAGAACUGGUAACCAUUAGAACUGGUAACCAUUAGAAUGAUGAACUGGUAACCAUUAGAAUGAUGACUGGUAACCAUUAGAAUGAUGAACUGGUAACCAUUAGAACUGGUAACCAUUAGAAUGAUGAACUGGUAACCAUUAGAACUGGUAACCAUUAGAACUGGUAACCAUUAGAACUGGUAACCAUUAGAAUGAUGAACUGGUAACCAUUAGAACUGGUAACCAUUAGAACUGGUAACCAUUAGAAUGAUGAACUGGUAACCAUUAGAACUGGUAACCAUUAGAAUGAUGAACUGGUAACCAUUAGAAUGACUGGUAACCAUUAGAAUGAUGAACUGGUAACCAUUAAUGAUGAACUGGUAACCAUUAGAACUGGUAACCAUUAGAAUGAUGAACUGGUAACCAUUAGAAUGAUGAACUGGUAACCAUUAGAAUGAUGAACUGGUAACCAUUAGAACUGGUAACCAUUAGAAUGAUGAACUGGUAACCAUUAGAAUGAUGAACUGGUAACCAUUAGAACUGGUAACAAUUACAACUGGUAACCAUUAGAAUGAUGAACUGGUAACCAUUAGAAUGAUGAACUGGUAACCAUUAGAACUGGUAACCAUUAGAAUGAUGAACUGGUAACCAUUAGAACUGGUAACCAUUAGAACUGGUAACCAUUAGAAUGAUGAACUGGUAACCAUUAGAACUGGUAACCAUUAGAACUGGUAACCAUUAGAACUGGUAACCAUUAGAAUGAUGAACUGGUAACCAUUAGAACUGGUAACCAUUAGAACUGGUAACCAUUAGAACUGGUAACCAUUAGAACUGGUAACCAUUAGAACUGGUAACCAUUAGAAUGAUGAACUGGUAACCAUUAGAACUGGUAACAAUUAGAACUGGUAACCAUUAGAAUGAUGAACUGGUAACCAUUAGAACUGGUAACCAUUAGAAUGAUGAACUGGUAACCAUUAGAACUGGUAACCAUUAGAACUGGUAACCAUUAGAAUGAUGAACUGGUAACCAUUAGAACUGGUAACCAUUAGAACUGGUAACCAUUAGAAUGAUGAACUGGUAACCAUUAGAACUGGUAACCAUUAGAAUGAUGAACUGGUAACCAUUAGAACUGGUAACCAUUAGAACUGGUAACCAUUAGAACUGGUAACAAUUAGAAUGAUGAACUGGUAACCAUUAGAACUGGUAACCAUUAGAACUGGUAACCAUUAGAACUGGUAACCAUUAGAACUGGUAACCAUUAGAACUGGUAACCAUUAGAACUGGUAACCAUUAGAAUGAUGAACUGGUAACCAUUAGAACUGGUAACCAUUAGAACUGGUAACCAUUAGAAUGAUGAACUGGUAACCAUUAGAACUGGUAACCAUUAGAACUGGUAACCAUUAGAACUGGUAACCAUUAGAAUUAUGAACUGGUAACCAUUAGAACUGGUAACCAUUAGAAUGAUGAACUGGUAACCAUUAGAACUGGUAACCAUUAGAACUGGUAACCAUUAGAAUGAUGAACUGGUAACCAUUAGAACUGGUAACCAUUAGAAUGAUGAACUGGUAACCAUUAGAACUGGUAACCAUUAGAACUGGUAA